AUGGGCAAAGUUUCUGAACCGUGUUGUGUUCAAGGCUAAACGGUUUGGCACUUGCCCAG
rnacentral:pre_miRNA from 1 species